AGUGAACGCUGGCGGUAGGCCUAACACAUGCAAGUCGAACGGCAGCACAGUAAGAGCUUGCUCUUACGGGUGGCGAGUGGCGGACGGGUGAGGAAUACAUCGGAAUCUACUUUUUCGUGGGGGAUAACGUAGGGAAACUUACGCUAAUACCGCAUACGACCUACGGGUGAAAGCAGGGGAUCUUCGGACCUUGCGCGAUUGAAUGAGCCGAUGUCGGAUUAGCUAGUUGGCGGGGUAAAGGCCCACCAAGGCGACGAUCCGUAGCUGGUCUGAGAGGAUGAUCAGCCACACUGGAACUGAGAACCGGUCCAGACUCCUACGGGAGGCAGCAGUGGGGAAUAUUGGACAAUGGGCGCAAGCCUGAUCCAGCCAUACCGCGUGGGUGAAGAAGGCCUUCGGGUUGUAAAGCCCUUUUGUUGGGAAAGAAAAGCAGCAGGUUAAUACCCCGCUGUUCUGACGGUACCCAAAGAAUAAGCACCGGCUAACUUCGU
rnacentral:rRNA from 1 species